GACGAACGCUGGCGGCGUGCUUAACACAUGCAAGUCGAACGGAAAGGCCCUGCUUUUGUGGGGUGCUCGAGUGGCGAACGGGUGAGUAACACGUGAGUAACCUGCCCUUGACUUUGGGAUAACUUCAGGAAACUGGGGCUAAUACCGGAUAGGAGCUCCUGCUGCAUGGUGGGGGUUGGAAAGUUUCGGCGGUUGGGGAUGGACUCGCGGCUUAUCAGCUUGUUGGUGGGGUAGUGGCUUACCAAGGCUUUGACGGGUAGCCGGCCUGAGAGGGUGACCGGCCACAUUGGGACUGAGAUACGGCGCAGACUCCUACGGGAGGCAGCAGUGGGGAAUAUGGCACAAUGGGCGGAAGCCUGAUGCAGCAGCGCCGCGUUCGGGAUGACGGCCUUCGGGUUGUAAACCGCUUUCGCCUGUGACGAAGCGUGAGUGACGGUAAUGGGUAAAGAAGCACCGGCUAACUACGUG
rnacentral:rRNA from 1 species